rnacentral:tRNA from 1 species
GGAGUGAUGGCUCAGAGGUUAAGAGCACUGGCUGCUUUUCCAGAGGUCCUGAGUUCAAAUCCCAGUAGUUCAU